rnacentral:rRNA from 1 species
UGGUGGGUAGUUUGACUGGGGCGGUCUCCUCCUAAAGAGUAACGGAGGAGCACGAAGGUUGGCUAAUCCUGGUCGGACAUCAGGAGGUUAGUGCAAUGGCAUAAGCCAGCUUGACUGCGAGCGUGACGGCGCGAGCAGGUGCGAAAGCAGGUCAUAGUGAUCCGGUGGUUCUGAAUGGAAGGGCCAUCGCUCAACGGAUAAAAGGUACUCCGGGGAUAACAGGCUGAUACCGCCCAAGAGUUCAUAUCGACGGCGGUGUUUGGCACCUCGAUGUCGGCUCAUCACAUCCUGGGGCUGAAGUAGGUCCCAAGGGUAUGGCUGUUCGCCAUUUAAAGUGGUACGCGAGCUGGGUUUAGAACGUCGUGAGACAGUUCGGUCCCUAUCUGCCGUGGGCGCUGGAGAACUGAGGGGGGCUGCUCCUAGUACGAGAGGACCGGAGUGGACGCAUCACUGGUGUUCGGGUUGUCAUGCCAAUGGCACUGCCCGGUAGCUAAAUGCGGAAGAGAUAAGUGCUGAAAGCAUCUAAGCACGAAACUUGCCCCGAGAUGAGUUCUCCCUGACUCCUUGAGAGUC